CAAGAAUCUGCCUGCAAUGCAGGAGACACUGGUUCAACUACUGGGUUGGGAAGAUCCCUUAGAAAAGGAAAUGGUAAUCCACUUUCAUAUUCUUAUCUGGGGAAUUCCAUGGACAGAGGAGUUUAGUGGGCUACAGUCCAUGGGGUCACAAAAGAGUUGGACGUAACUUAGCGACUCAACAACAAUGACUCAUAUUUUGUUCUCUUUACAACCAGCUAUGGUGAUUAUUAUUGGGCUUCCCAGGGGGCACUAGUGAUUAGAGAACCCACCUACUGAUGCAAGCGAUGUAAGACAUGUGGCUUCGAUGCCUGUGUUGGGAAGAUCCCCUGGAGGAGGGCAUGGCAACCCACUCCAGUAUUCUUGCCUGGAGAAUCCCACGGACAGAGGAGCCAUAGGGUCGCAAAGAGUCAGACACGACUGAAGUGACUUAACACGGAUGCACAUGCAAACUUGAAUACGUUCUCAUGGCAAUGACAGAGGAGCAAGGGAGCAAGCCCAGUUGUGCAAGCUCUUUUAAGCUUUUGGUUAUGUCGUGUUGCUAAUAUUCCACUGGUGAUGUCAAAGGGCUGACCUCAAGGUGAAGGGAUGGGAUGUAUUUCUCCUCUUCAGUGAGAGGAGCUGAGAAGUUACAUGGCAAAGGCCAUGGAUAUAGGGGAGUAAUUUAGGGGUGUACAUCCCUAAAAACCAAGAAGACCAUUACAAAGCAAGAGGUGAAUAGACACACAGGCUACCAACGUACAGGAGUGCUUUAAUAUAGAAGAGGAACAAAAUAGGAGAAAGUUUUCUUGGCCUGAAGAAGAUAUCCAGUGAAGAUUAGCAGAGAGGACUGGAGAGGGUAUUCCAAGGGUAGAGGGCAAUAAAACAAAAUGUGGGAAUUAUGUCAAAAUGAACAUAUUUCGAAGAUCGUCUCACUCCAGUGUUUUCCCCCAUGUGGAAGACUAGAGAAAGAGGCCAGUCCCAG
ensembl:lncRNA